rnacentral:rRNA from 2 species
UGGGGAAUAUUGGGCAAUGGGGGAAACCCUGACCCAGCAACGCCGCGUGAGGGAAGAAGGUCUUCGGAUCGUAAACCUCUGUCCUUAGUGAAGAGCAAGAGACGGUAGCUAAGGAGGAAGCCCCGGCUAACUACGUGCCAGCAGCCGCGGUAAUACGUAGGGGGCGAGCGUUGUCCGGAAUGAUUGGGCGUAAAGGGCGCGUAGGCGGCCUGUUAAGUCUGGAGUGAAAGUCCUGCUUUCAAGGUGGGAAUUGCUUUGGAAACUGGCGGGCUGGAGUGCAGGAGAGGUUAGCGGAAUUCCCGGUGUAGCGGUGAAAUGCGUAGAGAUCGGGAGGAACACCAGUGGCGAAGGCGGCUAACUGGACUGUAACUGACGCUGAGGCGCGAAAGUGUGGGGAGCAAACAGG